rnacentral:rRNA from 3 species
AAAUUGAAGAGUUUGAUCAUGGCUCAGAUUGAACGCUGGCGGCAGGCCUAACACAUGCAAGUCGAACGGUAACAGGAAGCAGCUUGCUGCUUUGCUGACGAGUGGCGGACGGGUGAGUAAUGUCUGGGAAACUGCCUGAUGGAGGGGGAUAACUACUGGAAACGGUGGCUAAUACCGCAUAACGUCGCAAGACCAAAGAGGGGGACCUUCGGGCCUCUUGCCAUCAGAUGUGCCCAGAUGGGAUUAGCUUGUUGGUGAGGUAACGGCUCACCAAGGCGACGAUCCCUAGCUGGUCUGAGAGGAUGACCAGCCACACUGGAACUGAGACACGGUCCAGACUCCUACGGGAGGCAGCAGUGGGGAAUAUUGCACAAUGGGCGCAAGCCUGAUGCAGCCAUGCCGCGUGUAUGAAGAAGGCCUUCGGGUUGUAAAGUACUUUCAGCGGGGAGGAAGGUGUUGUGGUUAAUAACCGCAGCAAUUGACGUUACCCGCAGAAGAAGCACCGGCUAACUCCGUGCCAGCAGCCGCGGUAAUACGGAGGGUGCAAGCGUUAAUCGGAAUUACUGGGCGUAAAGCGCACGCAGGCGGUCUGUCAAGUCGGAUGUGAAAUCCCCGGGCUCAACCUGGGAACUGCAUUCGAAACUGGCAGGCUUGAGUCUUGUAGAGGGGGGUAGAAUUCCAGGUGUAGCGGUGAAAUGCGUAGAGAUCUGGAGGAAUACCGGUGGCGAAGGCGGCCCCCUGGACAAAGACUGACGCUCAGGUGCGAAAGCGUGGGGAGCAAACAGGAUUAGAUACCCUGGUAGUCCACGCCGUAAACGAUGUCUACUUGGAGGUUGUGCCCUUGAGGCGUGGCUUCCGGAGCUAACGCGUUAAGUAGACCGCCUGGGGAGUACGGCCGCAAGGUUAAAACUCAAAUGAAUUGACGGGGGCCCGCACAAGCGGUGGAGCAUGUGGUUUAAUUCGAUGCAACGCGAAGAACCUUACCUGGUCUUGACAUCCACGGAAGAAUUCAGAGAUGGAUUUGUGCCUUCGGGAACCGUGAGACAGGUGCUGCAUGGCUGUCGUCAGCUCGUGUUGUGAAAUGUUGGGUUAAGUCCCGCAACGAGCGCAACCCUUAUCCUUUGUUGCCAGCGGUUAGGCCGGGAACUCAAAGGAGACUGCCAGUGAUAAACUGGAGGAAGGUGGGGAUGACGUCAAGUCAUCAUGGCCCUUACGACCAGGGCUACACACGUGCUACAAUGGCGCAUACAAAGAGAAGCGACCUCGCGAGAGCAAGCGGACCUCAUAAAGUGCGUCGUAGUCCGGAUUGGAGUCUGCAACUCGACUCCAUGAAGUCGGAAUCGCUAGUAAUCGUGGAUCAGAAUGCCACGGUGAAUACGUUCCCGGGCCUUGUACACACCGCCCGUCACACCAUGGGAGUGGGUUGCAAAAGAAGUAGGUAGCUUAACCUUCGGGAGGGCGCUUACCACUUUGUGAUUCAUGACUGGGGUGAAGUCGUAACAAGGUAACCGUAGGGGAACCUGCGGUUGGAUCACCUCCUUA